UAUAACAAAUACAGAUAACAUGAACUUAUACUUAAUAUGUGUUUGUGUGUUUAUGUGUUUGGCUGCCCUGUGACCAUGAAAUACAACUAUUUUUGGAUUAUUGUUGAUAGUCACUAGUGAGGUGGUCAUUAGAGCAUUAUCAGCGAUAAAAUUUUCUAUCAAUCCUCGAAAAUCGUAUUCAUUUAAUUUUUGUCACCUCACCUCACCUCAAGUUUUUUAUAUACUAAUUUUACAUUCCAAAUUUCCUACAUUUCUCAUCAAAUUCAUUUUCAUCUCACGAGUUUAAACAAAAAUGUAAAAAGGUUUGUUCAAUUUUAUCUUAUUCAUUAAAACUAUCUAACUAUUCUACAAAACCCCCAGUUCACUACCUAACAAUGAACAGAGAAAAAUAAGACACUAAAUUAGGGAAACUUCACUACAAUUUAAUGUUGUCCUGUGAAACCUAUCUAU